rnacentral:rRNA from 1 species
UACGUAGGGUGCGAGCGUUGUUCGGAAUUACUGGGCGUAAAGGGUGCGUAGGCGGCUUUUUAAGUUUGGUGUGAAAUCUCCCGGCUCAACUGGGAGGGUGCGCCGAAUACUGAGAAGCUAGAGUGUGGGAGAGGAAAGUGGAAUUCCUGGUGUAGCGGUGAAAUGCGUAGAUAUCAGGAGGAACACCUGUGGCGAAAGCGGCGCACUGGACCACAACUGACGCUGAGGCGCGAAAGCUAGGGGAGCAAACAGG